rnacentral:rRNA from 1 species
GUAGGUGGCUAGCGUUGUCCGGAAUUAUUGGGCGUAAAGCGCGCGCAGGCGGUUCUUUAAGUCUGAUGUGAAAGCCCACGGCUCAACCGUGGAGGGUCAUUGGAAACUGGAGAACUUGAGUACAGAAGAGGAAAGCGGAAUUCCACGUGUAGCGGUGAAAUGCGUAGAGAUGUGGAGGAACACCAGUGGCGAAGGCGGCUUUCUGGUCUGUAACUGACGCUGAGGCGCGAAAGCGUGGGGAGCAAACAGGGAUUAGAUACCCUGGUAGUCCACGCCGUAAACGAUGAGUGCUAAGUGUUAGGGGGGUUUCCGCCCCCUUAGUGCUGCAGCUAACGCAUUAAGCACUCCGCCUGGGGAGUACGGCCGCAAGGCUG